rnacentral:rRNA from 1 species
UCAGGUGCGCGUGUGGGAUUGCUUUAUAGCUGACGAGCGGCGGACGGGUGAGUAAUGUAUGGGGAUCUGCCCGAUAGAGGGGGAUAACUACUGGAAACGGUGGCUAAUACCGCAUGACGUCUACGGACCAAAGCAGGGGCUCUUCGGACCUUGCGCUAUCGGAUGAACCCAUAUGGGAUUAGCUAGUAGGUGGGGUAAUGGCUCACCUAGGCGACGAUCUCUAGCUGGUCUGAGAGGAUGAUCAGCCACACUGGGACUGAGACACGGCCCAGACUCCUACGGGAGGCAGCAGUGGGGAAUAUUGCACAAUGGGGCGCAAGCCUGAUGCACCCAUGCCGCGUGUAUGAAAAAAGGCCUUUAGGGGUUGUAAAGUACUUUUCCAGCGGGGAGGGAGGGUGGUUAAGGUUAAUAACCCUUUAUCAAUGGACGUUACCCGACAGAAAAAASCCCCGGACUUAUUCUCCGUGCCAGCACCCGCGGUAAUACGGAGGGGGGCACGCGUUAAUCGGAAAUUACGGGGGCGUAAACCGCACSCAGGGCGAUCAAUUUAAGUCAAAAGGUGAAGCCCCAGGGCUUAACUUGGAAAUUUGCUUCUGAAUCUGGCUGGGCUAGAGUCUUGAAGAGGGGGGUUAGAAUUUCCAUGUGUAGCGGUGAAAUGCGUAGAGAUGUGGAGGAAUACCGGGUGGGCGAAGGCGGCCCCUUGGACAAAGACUGACUCUCAGGUGCGAAGCGUGGGCAGCAAAAGGAUUAGAUACCCGUGUACUCCACGCUGGACACGAUGUCCAUUUAGAGGUUGUGUCUGAGCGGCUUCGGGACAACGGUAAUCACCCCUGGAGAUACGGCCGAGAUAACUCAAGUGUAUCGACGUGGCCCGCAGA